GGUAACAACUAGUAUUGUCUUUCUCAAGUCUUACUCAAAUUAGUAUAGUAGCUAUAUGGUAUUGAAAUCUUUCUUGAAUGUUCAAAGUGCUUGCGUGCUUGUUUGCUGCUGUGGAAACUGGGUUUGGCCUUUCAUAGCCAGCUUGAUGAGCACUGGAAUUUGAGCAUCUUCGAUUGUUAAGCUUGCGGUCAACAUCCAUUUGCUUCCUUUGAGUUGAAACUGGGUCUUUCUUGUUGUCAUUGAUGGUCAUCAAAGCAUUGUAAGAGUUGCUGAUUGAGUUGAUCUGUUUGAUUGUUCAUUGUUUCUCUUGGAUCCUUGUUUCUUUAUUGGUAUGUUGGUCUAACUUGAUAGUUACGAGGGUCAGCAUAGCUCACCAGAGUGAUGUAUCCAAUAUGGCGAUUCUCUGAUAUCUCAUUUCAGUGAUCCAUUGGGACUGAGGUCAAUAUCCCAGAAAUCAAUAUGAACACUUCUGUGAGAAUGUGUAUUGAAUUGGUCAGAAAUACUUGUCAAUCUUUGUAGCUAACGGCUUUUAGUUAUGGAUGCUUUGCAAGUCAUUUCUUCUGCAACACAGAUAGUGUCAAACAUGGUAGGUGCCAUUGCUGCAUUAGAACAAGCAUCUAGGAACUUAGAUGAAGGUCCAAAGAGAAUUCGAAGCCUAGAGGAAUUUGUCUGUGAUCUUGAGAACUUGAUUCGCCGACUUAAGCACAAGCAUGUCAAUAAACUUCAUAAUCCUCAGUUAGAUCACCAAAUUCAAAGCUUGAAUUCCCUGAUAGAACGUCUGCUUCCAAACAUCAGCAAGGCCAGGAGAAUGGUGUCAAAGAGUAGGUUUAAGAACUUGGCCAAGGUAGUUUGGACUUCCAUGGCUGGAGACCCACUUGGGAAGCUUGUGAACUCAAUAAAGGAUGACUUGAACUGGUGGCUGGAAUCACAAAGAUUGGUCCACGAUGUUGAGAAGACACUCGAGUCGACUGCACAAGACAGCGGUGUUCGACUGAAAAUUAGGACUGAACAAGGCUACCCAGUUUCUAGUAAAUGCUACUUUGUUAGGAAUUUACUGGAAAAGGAUGGCUCCCAACGUGUCAUUCUCAUUGUUGGGCUAUCUGGUAUUGGGAAGUCAUUUCUGGCUCGUCAAGUAGCUUCUGAUCCCCCUGAGAAAUUUAUGGAUGGUGCAGUUGAACUAGGCUUUGGCCAAUGGUGCAGUAGAGCUGCUUGUAACAGAAGCAUAGUUGAAUACCAGAGGCGCUUGGCAAGAAAACUUUGUAAAUUUCUGGUGCAGAUUGGGUUUCGGAAGAAGAUUAGAGAUGAACAUGGUGGAGAUCUAGAAUAUAUAUGUUGCUUGCUUCAAGAAGCCUUGUAUGGGAAGAGCAUUCUUAUACUUCUUGAUGAUGUUUGGGAGCAGGACAUAGUUGAGCGGUUCACAAAGCUAUAUGAUAAUGAUUGCAGGUACCUUGUAACAACAAGAAACGAAGCUGUCUAUGAAAUUACAGAAGCAGAGAAGGUGGAAUUAAGCAAAGAUGAUGUAAAGGAGACAAGCAUGGAAGUUCUUCUCUACCAUAGCCUCCUUAGCAAAGAAGAGUUACCGCAAGUAGCAGAGAACUUACUUGAGCGCUGCGGUCACCAUCCUUUAACAGUUGCGGUUAUGGGUAAGGCUCUCAGAAAAGAAACAAGAGCUGAUAAAUGGGAAAAGGCCAUCACCAACUUAUCCACAUUUGCUACGUGUGCACCUGGUCCUGUAUCAUAUGUCAAUGAAAAAGAAGCUGAGAAUGCUUUAACCAUUUUCGGAUCCUUUGAAUUCAGUCUAGAUGCAAUGCCUGGAGACUCUAGAGAGCUUUUUAUAGCUUUGUCGGCUCUUUCGUGGGAAGAACCUGUGCCAGAAGCUUGUGUGGAGGCUGUUUGGUCAGUUCUGGGACAGGAGACCCUGUUCCCACUCAUAGUCUGCAAGCUUGUAGAAGGCUGACUAUUGAUGAAAAUUGAUACAGAUCCCUUGUACUUGGUACAUGACAUGGUUGCUCUGUACCUUGAGAGCAAGACAAACAAUUCAGUCCAGAUAUUACUAAAUGCAACCACAGUCGAAGAAGCAGCAUUCAUCUGCCCUUGGCUUCUUAUAUUUGGGAAAGAGAGAGUAAAUUAUUUUUCCGAAAAGAGAAUAGUGUCUUUCCUCGGUGCUUUUGAGGAAAAGCAUGUGAUUAUCACCUUAGAAGCAACUAUCCAGGCUCUAAUGGCUAGCAAGUCCAUAUCAGAACUUGAAGACAGUAGAGCAAUCUUCAGUAGCUUAUUGGGUCCUAGGACUGCAGACCUGAUCUCCACUGAAUCACAGAGCCUGAUUGCUGUGUCUGCACAAGCCAUCACCAUCAUAUUUAGCAAGAGUGACUAUUGCAAUUAUUUCCCAUCCCUUGAAUAUACUGGUGCAGUCAGCAAGUUGGCUUGCAUCUUAGAAAAUUGUGACGACUCUGUGAUCCAAACAGAUAUUUCAGUUGUUCUUGCAAAGCUUGCAGAAUUUGGAACCCAAGAAACAGUCGAUAAGGUGCUUCAGAGCAUUCAAUUUCAUCAGUUGGCAGAGUUGCUCUCUCCAAAUAAUGACCAAUGGCAUGAUAGCAUGUUUUCAAUACUGAUCUCAUUGAUGAAAGCUGGGAAAUCAAAAGCUGUGGAGAGAAUGCUUGCUUUUGAGAUUGAUAAGGCUCUUCUUAGACUCCAACAGAAUGGAUCCGAAGUAGCUCAACACCAUGCAAUAGUUGCAUUGAAGACAUUUUAUGAGUUGGGGGGCUCCCAUCUGGUUGGAACUCUUGAACCAAAAAAUAUAAACCUUUUGCCAUGGCAAGCUAGGCAUUGUUUGGAGAGAUUUGUUUUGUCGGAUCAAAGUGUUCCUCUUUUACCACAGCUGCAAACUUUUGAAGAUCUUAUUUAUAAGGUACUACACAAUGAUAGCAAGCUGGUAUUGGAAGCAAUGCAAGAUCUCAUACCAAUCAUUGAGAAUGCAGGAGAACCAAGCAUCAGAGACAUGAUUAUAGAAAGUCCCCUCAUCAAACAACUUUCUGAACUCUUGCAACGUGGAAGCUUUGAAGAUAACUCAAUAAAAUCUCAAACUGCUUUUCUAUUGAUGAAGCUAGCUUCCUCUGGUGGUGAAUCCUGCAUUCAAAAGUUUCUCGAGUACGAUAUUAUACCUGAUCUAGUUAAGAUGAUGCAGUGCAGCAGUAUAGAGUUGCAGGAUGCAGCCUAUACAGCACUACACCAAAUGUGUUUCGGAAGCAGCGGAAUUCUCGUUUUGAACCAAAUCCUCCAGAUGGGUCUCAUAGAGAGGAUGGCUCAAUCACUGGAAAGCAAAUCAAGGAAGACCAGGGAAGUGAACGUGCACUGUUUUUUAGAUAUUGUGGAGCUCGGAAACAAAGCCUGCAUCGAGAGGAUGAUUCCACUGCAAGUGGUGGAGAAGCUUGUGAAAAUAGAAAAGGCUAGUGGGGGAACUAGUGAAACACUGCUUGGAUUUUUAAAGGGAAUUGAUAAGUGUAAGCAUCUAUCUGUGGCAGAGCGUAGAGUGAUGAAACAACAAGUGAUUAGGAAGAUAAGGGCUUCCCUUAAAGGCCAUAAAUUUGAGUUUCAAAUUUUGGGAGCUGUUGAUGCUUGUGUAUCUGAGGGAUCAAAAGCAGGUAGUAGUAGUGGUAGCAGUAGAGGUAAACACAAAAGGGGAUAG